rnacentral:rRNA from 1 species
CGCGAUUCGCCCUUCGGGGUGCAGCAGGCGCGAAAACUUUGCAAUACACGAAAGUGUGACAGGGCUAUCCCGAGUGCCAUCCGCUGAGGAAGGCUUUUACCCAGUCUAGAACGCUGGGGGAAUAAGGAGAGGGCAAGUCUGGUGUCAGCCGCCGCGGUAAUACCAGCUCUCCGAGUGGUGUGGAUGUUUAUUGGGCCUAAAGCAUCCGUAGCUGGCUGAGUUAGUCCCUUGUUAAAUCCACCGAAUUAAUCGUUGGAUUGCGGGGGAUACUGCUCGGCUAGGGGACAAGAGAGGCAGACGGUAUUUCCGGGGUAGGGGUGAAAUCCUAUAAUCCCGGGAAGACCACCAGUGGCGAAGGCUGUCUGCUAGAACGCGCCCGACGGUGAGGGAUGAAAGCUGGGGGAGCGAACCGGAUUAGAUACCCGGGUAGUCCCAGCUGUAAACGAUGCAGGCUAGGUGUUUGGACGGCCACGUGCCGUUCUAGUGCCGCAGGGAAGCUGUUAAGCCUGCCGCCUGGGGAGUACGAUCGCAAGAUUGAAACUUAAAGGAAUUGGCGGGGGAGCAC